rnacentral:rRNA from 1 species
GAUGAACGCUGACAGAAUGCUUAACACAUGCAAGUCGAUGGGGAAGUGGUGCUUGCACCCUGGCAACCAUGGCGGACGGGUGAGUAACGCGUAAGGGACUUACCUGCAGGACUGGGAUAACAGGGGGAAACUCCUGACAAGACCGGAUAAUGUCAUGGAGCUGCAUGGCUUUAUGAUGAAAGAAGACGCCUGCGGAGAGCCUUGCGUCCUAUUAGCUAGUUGGUGAGGUAAUGGCUCACCAAGGCGAAGAUAGGUAGCCGGCCUGAGAGGGUGGACGGCCACAAGGGGACUGAGAUACGGCCCUUACUCCUACGGGAGGCAGCAGUGGGGAAUAUUGGACAAUGGGGGCAACCCUGAUCCAGCAAUUCUGUGUGCACGAAGAAGGUUUUCGGAUUGUAAAGUGCUUUCAGCAGGGAAGAAGUAAGUGACGGUACCUGCAGAAGAAGCGACGGCUAAAUACGU